AUGGCGGCUCCCAGUUGUCCUCCUCGAGACGAUAACACCACCUCUAGUCCUCGGGACGAUGAUGCCGCUUCUCCUAGGGCACCCUUCCCCAGCCUUUCCUUGCACACCUUCUUCCUCCUGGCAAUGCCCCCUCCCUCCCUCCCUUUCCCCUCUUUGGCUUAUCAAUUUGUUUUAGUCCUUUGGCCAAAUCUAGCUAACCCCAACAUUGAGGAGGAGGCGCCCGCCAUCUCGGUGGUGGACUACGAGCUGACCGACGACGACGAGAGCGGCGACGAGGCCGACGAGCCGACGAAGGCGAGGGACGGCGAGGCGCCGGCGGCCAGAGGCGAGCUGCCGCUGGUCCCGGCGCCGUUCGUCCCGGAAGGGGAGUUCCUCGGCCCGGCGCGGUUCGCCACCGCCGGGUGCGCCGCCGGCUUCAUGCGUGUCGCCGUCGUCGAGGGCGACGGCGGCGGCGGCGGCCAGGAGAUCGUGGUGCUCUACCGCUACACCCGCUACUCGGGGACGUGGAGCGGGCGAAAGGGCGUGGAGGUGUCGAGGAGGACGAAGCUGAACCGCCUCUGGUUCGUCGUCUCCCCCGCCGCCGGCAUGGCGAGCUCGCUGGCGUGGGCCGGCUCGUCGCUGGCGCCGCUGAUCUACCCCUACUUCUUCAGGCGGGAGCUCCUGGAGCUUUGGUCGAGCCUGAUCAUGGCGGCGCCGGCGAGCAUCGUCCCGCCGGGAGCCACGCGCGUGGAGGUGCUCGUCGACGUCGGCAUCCUCCGGCCGUUCGACAAGAGGCCGGACCGGAUGGAGUACAUGCGGCGCGAGCUGGAGGCCGAGGCGGCGGCGGCGUGGUCGUGGCCGGGGCACCACGUCGGCCUGGACCUCAACCUGCCGGAGCCGGUGCUGUGCGACAGGGGCGCCACCGCCGGCGAAGUGUUGUCGGAGGAGGAGGGCGACGGGGCGCCGCCGCCGGCGAAGAAGAGGAGGAGGGCGGUGGCUGGGGUCGCCGGAGAGGAGUGUCCCGUUUGCUUCUUCCAGCUUGAGACCGACCUCGUCGCGUGGCCCGGGUGCUCCGUGCGCCAUGUCUUCCAUGGCGAGUGCUUGGAGUUCACUCUCGAGAGGAGUGACAAGUGCCCUAUCUGCAGGAAGGACCUGGUUAUAAAAAAUUUGCAGGGAAACUGUUUUAAAUACUCAGGUGGACAUAUUAAAUGGUUAUAAAAAAUUUUCA
rnacentral:lncRNA from 1 species